rnacentral:rRNA from 1 species
CAUGUGGUUUAAUUCGACGCAACGCGAGGAACCUUACCUAGGCUUGACAUGUGGUGAGUAGCGAACCAAAGGGGAGCGACCCGUCAAAUCGGGCCAUCACACAGGUGCUGCAUGGCUGUCGUCAGCUCGUGCCGUGAGGUGUUGGGUUCAGUCCCGCAACGAGCGCAACCCUCGCCCUUUGUUGCCAUCGGGUAAAGCCGGGCACUCUAAGGGGACUGCCAGCGACAAGUUGGAGGAAGGAG